rfam:Daucus carota subsp. sativus cultivar DH1 chromosome 3, whole genome shotgun sequence.
UAUGGCAUAUGAUGUUUAAUCUUAUCCUACACACUGAUUGUUUGUGUUGAUAACUAUUCUCAAAUUAUUCUCUGAUGCCUAU